AUGUCUUCUACGACGACGACGACCGCGUCCGACGUCGCCGGCGUCUGGUUCUUCGGCAAGCUCUCCGCCGCCAUCCGUGGGAAGAAGAGGCAGGCCGUGCCGACGGUGAGCCACGCCGAUCACCAACACCAGAUGGGAGGGGCCGCUCAUGGCAACAAGGCGGCCGCGGCGGCGAAGCCUUCCGUCGUCGACCGGAAGGAGGCCGGCGGCGGUGGGAUGUCGGACGCGACGGUGUACCUGCUGCUCGACCGCUUCGCACCCAGCUAG
rnacentral:rRNA from 1 species